UACGUAGGGUGCAAGCGUUGUCCGGAAUUAUUGGGCGUAAAGAGCUUGUAGGCGGUUUGUCGCGUCUGCUGUGAAAUUUCGGGGCUCAACCCCGAACUUGCAGUGGGUACGGGCAGACUAGAGUGUGGUAGGGGAGACUGGAAUUCCUGGUGUAGCGGUGAAAUGCGCAGAUAUCAGGAGGAACACCAAUGGCGAAGGCAGCUUGCUGGGACGGUACUGACGCUGAGGCGCGAAAGCGUGGGGAGCAAACAGG
rnacentral:rRNA from 1 species